UGGGGAAUUUUGCACAAUGGGGGAAACCCUGAUGCAGCGACGCCGCGUGAUUUAGAAGGCCUUCGGGUUGUAAAAAUCUUUUCUAUGGGAAGAAAAUGACAGUACCAUAGGAAUAAGGACCGGCUAUUUACGUGCCAGCAGCCGCGGUAAUACGUAAGGUCCGAGCGUUGUCCGGAAUCAUUGGGCGUAAAGUGUACGUAGGCGGGUAAGCAAGUUAGAAGUGAAAUCCUAUAGCUCAACUAUAGUAAGCUUUUAAAACUGCUCAUCUUGAGGUAUGGAAGGGAAAGUGGAAUUCCUAGUGUAGCGGUGAAAUGCGCAGAUAUUAGGAGGAAUACCGGUAGCGAAGGCGACUUUCUGGCCAUAACCUGACGCUGAGGUACGAAAGCGUGGGUAGCAAACAGG
rnacentral:rRNA from 1 species